rnacentral:rRNA from 1 species
GAUGAACGCUGGCGGCGUGCCUAAUACAUGCAAGUCGAACGGAAAGGCCUCUUCGGAGGUACUCGAGUGGCGGACGGCUGAGUAACGAGUAGGAAUGUACCCCAAAGUGAGGAAUAACCACGAGAAAUCGUGGCUAAUACCGCAUGUGCUCUACGGAGUAAAGCUUCGGCGCUUUGGGAACAGCCUGCUUAUGAUUAGUUUGUUGGUGAGGUAAUGGCUCACCAAGGCUACGAUCAUUAGCUGGUCUGAGAGGAUGAUCAGCCAGACUGGGACUGAGACACGGCCCAGACUCCUACGGGAGGCAGCAGUAGGGAAUUUUCCACAAUGGACGAAAGUCUGAUGGAGCAACGCCGCGUGCAGGAUGAAUGCCUUCGGGUUGUAAACUGCUUUUAUAUGUGAAGAUAAUGACGGUAGCAUAUGAAUAAGGAUCGGCUAACUCCG